GACAAAAUGGUGAGAUAUGACCUUCCUGGUACAGUCCGCUGGAAAAAGAGAAGAAAGCCUCGGAUGGGCAUGAGUGCAACUUUCUAAAUACAGUGUGCAGUGAUCAGUUCCCAAGGAUGGUUCUUACAAGGAGAAAAUCCAGAAACUAUCAAUUGGCUACCUUGAUGUGAUCCUCUUCAUGAGGAAGCUUGGACUUCUCCCUGCUUCACAGAUGGGUUACGAGAUAGUCCAGAGAAGCUGCAUUCUAAGAAGCAUUAUGACCUGUCUUCUUAGAAACAACACGGCAUCACUUUUACCACAUUCUUUUGGUCACAAGGAGAGGGAAUUACACAUCACCUGAUUUUGGAUGCAUGUGUGAGGUAUGCUACUGUACUCACAAGACAUCUGAAACUAUACCCAGAUCAUCUAGAAGUGAACAUGUUCCAGGUGAUGUCCCUAUGUAAACCAAGGGUUGGUUUUCAGUGGGUAGAAAAUGCCCUUCAAACACUGACCCUGUCAUAUUGCAGAUGCCUUCAGCUCUGAAGGCUGGGAAAUUUAAAGUCAAGGACCACCAGGUUUGGUGUCUGGUGAAGGCUGCUCUCUUUGCCUUUGAGAUGAUGUCCUGUUUCUGUGUCCUCCUGAGGGAAUGAACACUGUGUCCUCACAUGGUUGGCAGAAUCAGAAGUGGAAAAGGGGCUUAAGCUAGCUCCCUCCAGCCCAUUCAUAAGGCAUGUAAUCAUUUAUCUAAAAGGCUCACCUCUUUAUACUACCACAAUCAGGAUGAAGCUUCAAUGUGCAUCUGGGAGGGGACACACAUUCAAAUUGUAGUCCAUGGGUUACUUUAAUCAAACUCCAAUUUUUUAAAUAUUUACUCCCCUCUUAGUUCAUUUAGAAUCUUGUCACCAUGUUCUGUACACAGUUUUAAUUUCUCUCUUUCUCUUUUUCUUUUGAUAAGGGUAAACUCUUUUGUACAUAUGAUGAGUCUAUAAAGUCUUGACAAUUUUAUGUAUGUAAUAUUUCAUAAAAUUUCACAAAUACUUUAUUAUACCUAUCCUUUGAAAUCAGUAUGAGAAAAUCUAAUAAAAUUUUUUUA
rnacentral:lncRNA from 1 species